rnacentral:rRNA from 1 species
CCUACGGGUGGCUGCAGUGGGGGAUAUUGCACAAUGGGGGAAACCCUGAUGCAGCGACGCCGCGUGUAGGAAGACGGUCCUCUGGAUUGUAAACUACUGUCCCCAGGGACGAAGAUGCCGGUACCUGGGGAGGAAGCUCCGGCUAACUACGUGCCAGCAGCCGCGGUAAUACGUAGGAAGCGAGCGUUGUCCGGAAUUACUGGGUGUAAAGGGAGCGUAGGCGGGGAUGCAAGUUGGGGGUUAAAUCUACCGGCUCAACUGGUAGUCGCACUCAAAACUGCAGCUCUUGAGUGAAGUAGAGGCAUGCGGAAUGCGUGGUGUAGCGGUGAAAUGCGUAGAUAUUAGGAGGAACACCAGUUGCGAAGGCAGCCUGCUGGGCUUUUACUGACGCUGAGGCUCGAAAGUGUGGGGAGCAAACAGGAUUAGAUACCCCAGUAGUC